rnacentral:rRNA from 1 species
CACCGCGGUUAUACGAGAGGCCCAAGCUGACAGACAUCGGCGUAAAGAGUGGUUAGGAGAAACACAACUAAACUAGGGCCGAAUGCUUUCAAGGCUGUUUUACGCACCCGAAAGCAAGAAGAACAACAACGAAAGUGGCCCUAUUAAAUCUGAAUCCACGAAAGCUAAGGCA